UGCAAUGUGUUUUCUUGCUAUAUAAUGUCUGUAACUCUUUUCUUGCGUCUCCAAUAUGGAAACUUCUCUUUGAAGAUGGUCUUCUACUUGUUUACGCCAUGUUUGAAAUUGACUACCACUGCAUGGACGUAAACGCAAUUAAAAUAUAUGUUCCUGCUGCAUAGUAGAGCAUGCUUAUUCGUUGGUAUCCACAACAGUUUUACAGCACUAAGAUUGAAGAAAUUAUCUCCAUCGUUAAUUAUGUCAAAGCACGUGGCUGCUAGUUGCUGAGGGGUCAGAAAUUGGUUAACAGAAAAGGGCUUUUCAAGUUUCAUCUAUCAACUUCAACAGAUUUUUUGAGUUGGUUUGUGCGGCUGAUAUUUGGACGUAUAACUCCUCACGAGCCUAUAUAAUUGCAUGGACUAG